rnacentral:lncRNA from 1 species
CUGGGGUGUCAGGCAGGGAGGGGGGAAGAGAGAGAGAGAAAAAAGCACGACUUACAUUAGCAGGGAAUAGUCAGAUCUGGGGCAUCAUAACGGCUAAGAUCAGACUGCAAGCCCAGCUGAAAGCAAGCCCAGGACUAGGAGAGAAAGGGAGACCGACAGACACGCGACUGUUCACACAUAUGUGUCCGGUCCCUCCUGAGACUUCACGGGGUCCUGGGUCUGUGUGGCUCCUCCUCAUGUGAUCCACUCAUCGUCUCCAGCGGAGAAAACGACCAGGCUUGAUCGGGUUCCUUCGGCUUCUCCUUCCCUCCCUUCCUUCCUUUAUUUAUUUGGGGGCAGCGGGAGGGCAGGAAGAGAAGCGCGGAGAGAAAGUGUGCUGGGGAUGCCAGCGCCCUGGGCUGCGCGUUGGAGGAGGAGGUGGAGGAGAAAGGGGGAGGAUGAUGCCGCUGCCUCCUAAGGGAGGAAGGAGAGAGAAGGGGAACGGAGCGCUCCGGAGAGGAGGCUCAGGCAAGCGCCAGCCUGCGGGGAAGCGGAGCCUGCAGGGCGGGCUCGGGCUCCGGCAGCUUUUCGCCCGCACCACAUUGGAUACUGCCAAAGGCGACCAGCACGGCCACCACCAAGGAGAAGCGCCGUCAGCUGCAGCAAAAGUUUUGGUGUGGGGGGCAAAAGGCGCAGAGGGGGAUUAUGAUCGGUGCCGGAGAAGGAUUCCCAGCCCUGCCAGGCUUCUCAGAUCCAUCAUCAAGCUGAAAUGAAGACCUUGGAGGCUGAAGAAAGCUGAGUGCACCACUACGUUGCUUCGGAGAAAGGAACUACUGGUCCAGCCAACCUUUCUCCUGACAACUUUUGGUAGCUUUAAAUUGCCGGUUGCUUACCUUGAAAGACACAGUUAUUGCUUUUUUCAGCACACAUGGAGGAAGGCAGAAAAGUGUGUAACCCUGGCUAAUCAAACUUUGGCUUUCCUAUGAAGAGCAGAAGGCCAAUCAUAAAAGAAUUAUUUCACAGUUAGCCUCCUGGACUUUACUUCUGACCUGAUCACUGGACACAAAUACAAGCCGAUUCCAACAAUCUGAGUUUUCACUACCUGUUCUUUAUCAUUGUUUUAAUUUCUCUUUCUUUGGUAU